UUGGGUUAACAAGAAAAAUUUGGUUUUUCUAUAUCACAAAAUCCAUGAGUUAAGAGAGUUCUUUUAACAUUCAAAGUUCAAGUACAAACUCUAUUUUUCACCAAUCUCACUCAUUCCCAACUUCUUCCCUUUUCUUUUUAUUGAGCUCAUCUUUCAUGCUUUUUCUUUUCUUCUUUUUCUUUUCUCAUGCAUUUUUCUUUUGCAACACUUGAGCUCAAUACUUUUCUUUUGCCUUUUCCCCCAAACUUGAACAUUUUCAACACAUACAAUUAUACUCAACCCAACUCAAGGUAAUUAAUUCAAAACAAGGGUUUUCCUGUUUAAGGCUAAGGUUAAAAAAGGGUAUAAUAUUUUAAUCACUUUAAGGGCUUCCAAACAUGGCCUUGAUCAUAUGACAUAAACAUGCAAUUCAAUCAACUAUCAAAACUGAGGCAAUAUCAUUCAUGCUUCCCCGUGAACAGUUCGUAUAUCAAUGAAAAACUCUGGAGCUCAAUACCUCACACAGCAUGC
rnacentral:lncRNA from 1 species